AAACCAUGUUGGGGGCAUCGUUUGAGAAAUUCCCGAAAUCUCUUCUAGGCAUCAUGAAUAGUCUCAUCCCCCAGCUGAGUAAAAUGUGAGAUCUCUGCUAUGAUCUU